UGGCUUAAAAAUAGGUAAUAUGAAUCAAUCGUUUUUUAGAACAACUGCGAUUUUAAGUGAAUAUUACACUAUAAUAUAACUAUUAGGAAUAAUAUAUGGGAAAAUAUACAAUAGGUUUUUAAGCCCCAA
rnacentral:rRNA from 1 species